AACGUAGGUGGCAAGCGUUAUCCGGAUUUACUGGGCGUAAAGGGUGUGCAGGCGGGGAAGCAAGUGGGGUAUGAAAUCUCCAGGCUUAACCUGGAGGGGUUAUGCCAGACUGCUUUUCUAGAGGACGAGAGAGGGGGGUGGAAUUCCGGGUGUAGUGGUGAAAUUCGUAGAUAUUCGCAAGAACACCAGUGGCGAAGGCGGCUCACUGGCUCGGUACUGACGCUGAGGUGCGAAAGCGUGGGGAGCAAACAGG
rnacentral:rRNA from 1 species